rnacentral:rRNA from 1 species
CACGUAGGGCGCAAGCGUUGUCCGGAAUUAUUGGGCGUAAAGAGCUCGUAGGCGGUCUGUUGCGUCCGCUGUGAAAACUCGGGGCUUAACCCCGAGCCUGCAGUGGAUACGGGCAGACUAGAGGUAGGUAGGGGAGAAUGGAAUUCCCGGUGUAGCGGUGAAAUGCGUAGAUAUUGGGAAGAACACCAGCGGCGAAAGCGCGCUACUGGGCCAUUACUGACACUCAUGGACGAAAGCUAGGGGAGCGAAAGGG